rnacentral:rRNA from 1 species
GUGGGGAAUCUUCCGCAAUGGACGAAAGUCUGACGGAGCAACGCCGCGUGAGUGAAGAAGGUUUUCGGAUCGUAAAGCUCUUUCGUUAGGGACGAACGUGCUCUUUGUGAAUAAUGAGGAGUAAUGACGGUACCUAAAUAAGAAGCCACGGCUAACUACGUGCCAGCAGCCGCGGUAAUACGUAGGUGGCAAGCGUUGUCCGGAAUUAUUUGGCGUAAAGCGCGCGCAGGCGGGAUAUCAAGUCUGUCUUAAAAGUGCGGGGCUCAACCUCGUGAGGGGACAGAAACUGGUAUUCUUGAGUGUCGGAGAGGAAAGUGGAAUUCCAAGUGUAGCGGUGAAAUGCGUAGAGAUUUGGAAGAACACCAGUGGCGAAGGCGACUUUCUGGACGAUGUCUGACGCUGAGGCGCGAAAGCUAGGGGAGCGAACGGGAUUAGAUACCCUGGUAGUCC